rnacentral:rRNA from 1 species
UACAGAGGUCUCAAGCGUUGUUCGGAUUCAUUGGGCGUAAAGGGUUCGUAGGUGGCUCGCUAAGUCAGACGUGAAAUCCCUCAGCUUAACUGGGGAACUGCGUCUGAGACUGGUGAGCUUGAGUGCAGUAGAGGAACGCGGAAUUCCAGGUGUAGCGGUGAAAUGCGUAGAUAUCUGGAGGAACACCGGUGGCGAAGGCGGCGUUCUGGACUGCAACUGACACUGAGGAACGAAAGCCAGGGGAGCAAACGGG